UACGUAGGGUGCAAGCGUUAAUCGGAAUUACUGGGCGUAAAGCGUGCGCAGGCGGUUCUAUAAGACAGAUGUGAAAUCCUCGGGCUCAACCUGGGAACUGCAUUUGUGACUGUAGAGCUGGAGUACGGCAGAGGGGGAUGGAAUUCCGCGUGUAGCAGUGAAAUGCGUAGAUAUGCGGAGGAACACCGAUGGCGAAGGCAAUCCCCUGGGCCUGUACUGACGCUCAUGCACGAAAGCGUGGGGAGCAAACAGG
rnacentral:rRNA from 1 species